rnacentral:lncRNA from 13 species
CUCAUCUGUAAAAUGAGGGAGGUAAUAGUACCUAUCAUAAUGAGUUAUUCUGAGAACUAGAUGAGAAAAUGCGUAUGAAAUGUCUAGCACAUAGGAAAUACGUAGUACAUGGAAAGUACUACAUGGUAACUCUCACUAUAUUUGAUGUUCAUAUUACAUAAAAAUAUAUGCAUGUAAACAUACACACAUAUGUUAUAUAUCAUAUUAUAUUCUGAAAACACACACCAAGGAAAUAUAUCAUAAUAGAGAUUCUUCUAUAUCUACUGUUUUGAAAUUUGCUUUUUUCUCUUAACAUGUUAUGAGUAACUAGGGGACAAUAAGGAACUGGGAUUAAAAGCAUGGCUUCUGCUAUCUGACUACUUGGGGGUGAGUUGUGGCUUCAUAAUCAUAAGAACUUGGGUAAGUGACUUCAAUUCUCUAGGUUGCAGAUCACUUCCUGGAAUGUGAUGAUGAAAACAUUACUUGCUGCAUAGAGUUGCCGUGAGGAUUAAUGAGAAAAUAUAUGUAAUAGCACCCUGCAGAUUCAAGUAAAUAAUUUAGGAAGAGAUGUUACUGAAAAUCAAUUAACAAGAGGAUAUGGUGUGUUAUAAAAGGGAAAUUCCCAACUCUCAGUGCUUUUAAGUGUGGGAAAACCGGAGGACCACAGGACCAAUAUUCUUCUUUGAAAACUGUUUGUGGUUUGGCAUUCAAGAGUCUCACAAUUGUGCCAUAUUUCUUUAGCAUUUUCCGCGGGCUGGCUUCCUCAUGCUACGAGUCAUCUCUGAUUAUAAAAUAUAUACAUGGCAAGAGAACCAGGACAAUGACUGACUAUGUGACUAUGACCAUAAGAUACUAUGAAUAGCUCUUUCUUCCCUAAGCCUGCAUCUGGCUUCAGACCCUUCUCAGCAAGAAGCUCCAGAAAGCUACUAAUGAUUGAUCAAGAUUAAAUGCAUCUCGAAAACAAUUUUCCAUCCUUGCUUUAGAUUUCAUCAUCAUUUGAAGUUAGUUUUCCAGUUUCUUAAAGUGCUUAUUCUAGUGAUUUCACCCCUUCUGGUCAUGAUAAAUGAGGCUCUUCGUGAGCUGGUAUCCAAGGGUUUUAUUUGUUUGCUUUCCUCUGUUUUUGCUCAUACUUCUCAGUUUGAAGUUUCUCUUACAAGACUUUUAGAAUUGUUUAAAUGAGACAAAAUUUGGUAAUACUUACAGAAAAACCAGUAUAGAUGGGUUUAAACUCUAUAGUGCUAAAUUUUGCUAAU